UAAGCAGCUAUUUAGACACCUUUUCCCUCAGGUGCAAACCCAUGCAAGUUGGAAUGAAAGGUUCUUUCUAUCAAGUUAAGCAGGAGUGAGGAGUCUCUGUUUUGACACCGCCUGAAGAAUAAAUACUUGCACAGUCUCAGGACCAGCCUCAGCAUUGGACUAGCACUGUCUUUCUAGUUACAUCUAGUGGCUUUUGGCCCAUUCUGUACAAUCAGUAAAUGAACUGAAUAUGUAGUUUGCAAGAGUUUUGUUCAGCAACCGCACCAGUGCCAGCUGCUUCACUAGUAAUAACAUAGCCCAUCCUUCAGAAUCAGGCAAAACAGAAAAUGUAAUUAACUUUAUUUGAACAUUCUAUCUGAGCACAUUCGGCACCCUUUUCAUUUCACUGCCACAUCAGAAGAGACACUCUGACCAACAUCACAUCCCCUGAAGACACAGAAAAAAAGAGAAUAAAUAUUAUUAUUUCUGUUUGAAUACUCAGCCUAUGUAAAUGCAUUAUAUACUUUGCUUGGCUUCAUCAUAAUAGAAAAAGCAAACAAGACAAACUUGUAUUUUUUGCUGCACACACAUUCCUUUUGUCUUUUUUCUCCAGCUUUUGCAUAGUGCAUAUUGCAAGCUUUUCUUUUUAGUUAUACGCUUCUAGCUAUUACCUUAGAACAAAAAUUCAGACACAUCCAGCACAAAAACACAUGAAAUGGCUCAUCAUAGCGCUGCCUCGAGGUUUCAGAAUCAUAUGUGCUGGAAAGGAAGAGACCUGUUAAUUUAUAUUUUUGCAUACGUCCCUGCAACCUAAUCUUUUCUACUUAUUCUGAAAACCUCAGGUAAAACAGUAUUUUACAAAUGAUUUAAUGAAAAACAGGAUCAGUUCUCUACAGGCGAUAAACUGGUUUCUGGGGAAGGGAAAGUCCUCUGUUUUCUUGUGCAGAUACUUGAUGUGAGGCAUUAGAAUAACCAUAAACCACCAGGUUGUGCUGUUGCCCUUAAGCAACACACAUCACCACAGAGCUACGUUACUGUGCUCAUCCCAUGGCUGUUCUUCGGCUGGAAAGACCCUAAAAUCCCAGAAAACCAGAAAGAAAACAAGCCUCAGACUCAUUUUCCUUUUGAUUUUACAGCUCAGGAUUUUCCACAGGACUUUGUCUCACUUUGGAAACCACUGGCAGUGUUUGCUGGCUGUGGAAUUCAGGUAUAAAAAUAAAUAACCCAUCUGCACAGACUCAGGAUGCAAACUGCAAAGCUGAUCCAGGAGUUGAUGUUGCACUCAGUACAGUUUCCAGUAAAUGAUCUAUUAAUGUUUAUCACUGCAGCUUAUUUUCACUAUUGCGUCUCCCCCCACCUACACAGACUGUUUCAGUUUUUCAGAAUUAUUUACUGCUUCAAAAAUCAGGAGUGUACUGAGGAGAGAGCUCAGAGGAUGCCUUGAAUAAGCAGAGAUUGAUGAAGAUGCUGGACACCAGGCCAAGAACCAACUACCAAGUAGCCAAACUACUUACAUCCACAAUUGCUCUUUACCCUGGUGUCAGAUAAGCUUCAGGUGAAAGAGCCAGGAACAUCACAUGACUCACAAGAAAAGACAGAGGAUAAACACUUUUUCUGAACUAGCCCUACAAUGCAUUGAACUUCGAGGGAAGGUCUGAAGAAGAGGUUGCUGUGGCAGAUCAUCCUCAUGAAAGAUAACGGCACACAGGAGAGAAAGGACGAGAGUUAAAUAUUUCUUUAUUUGCUUGGAUACCUGGGAAGAAGCACAGAGAAGGCAGAACUCGCUCCUCGCUCUGCAGUGAUGUAUUGACAGAACUUGGGCUAAAGCGUGGUAGCUCCAGCUCCAUACCAAUUAGCCUCAGCAAAUAUUCGGGUCAAGGUGACCUGUCAGAGGAGUUCACAAAGGAGUCUCUGCAGAAGCCGCGCGUUACCUUGUACAGCACUUGCUCGCUCUGCUGCAUUUAUCGUGUAUGUGCUGGAAAAGCCACUCGAACGCUGUGUAACAAGCUCAGCUGAAUGCUUCUCUGCCAAGGAUCAAGCUACACCGCACAGCAGGAUGAAUUCUGGCUCUUAGCAAAACAAAGUGCGGCAGCACCGUCUGAUUGCUCUUCUGCAAAAAGGACCACUUGAGAGCACAACGCUCUCUCCACUGCUGUGACUCAGGACCAGCACAACCAGGUUAUUACUUACUGUUUCUUCUUCAGUGGCCACUUGAAAUUUCUGUUUUUGAAUUGUAACAGCCAGAGGUUAAGAUUAUCCACACUCACUCCUAACUUCUGUCCAUCAUCUUCCUUUCAACACAGUAAUACAUAUUUUUGUUACUACAUCCAAUACAGGCAAAAAUUAUACUUGUUUUUCAAUUAUCCACUCUUUUUUUGUCCAAGCUUAGCCAGGUUUGCUCAUAGGGACAUUCUAGGCACACAUCCAAGCAGGAAGCUGUAGGCUUCAAAAUGUUUGGGCCAUAUGCGGACACUGGGGGUUGGGAUGCACAGGAGUCACUGGGAUGCAGCAUCUGCAUCCUACAGCCCUCGUUGAGGAAUUAUUUGUAUUGUGUGGCCACUCAGGUGUCAAUGAUGUUGAAGAUGUCCCUGCUCAUUGCAGGGAAGUUGGACUAGCUGACCUUUGGAGGUCCCUUCCAACCCAAACUAUUCUCUGAUGCUAUAAUUCUACAAAGUUCAAGACGGGAGGAUCCCAGGUUUGGGGUAUUACAUGUAGAGCUUGUUAGAUAUUUAAAGUUUCAGACACGAGAUAUCAAAGUGACUUUUUCUUUCUUGGUGGUGUUCUAAACAGCCCUAGAAAAGUGAAUUUCAAUCCUCAUCCUCCUCUCCUUCCACAGACACAAUUAUUUUACUUCUGUGAAUCUGGUUUGUUCAAAGUUGGCGGCAGGGGGAGGUAUUACCUGUUAUAUUGCACUUCUCUAUUCUGUUCAUCAGAAAUGUUAUACAGAAUAUAAAUAAGUCUAAUGAUAAAAAGACAUUGUAAAACAAACAAAUAUACAGCACCUGCUUUUAAAUUACUUUUGCUCCUAGUUUCUGACACAAAUAUUGGUCAGAAUGCAAUGCUCUUGCAUAAAUCACUUCCAUUUCAAUGAAUCCAUGGGUGCCAACAGGAAUAUAUUUACACCUUAGCUUUUUCUAUCAGCUUCUAGGCUGCACAUAUCUCAAAACAACAGCUAAGCAAAAAAUAUUUUAGGAAGCUACAAAAUGAUAGAGAUUUUCUUGGCCAAGAGAGAGAACUUGAAGGAUGAGAUACUUGAACUCUAACAUCUCUCGGCAUGGCCGCAUGGCAACAGUAAUGCUGAAUUGACAAAAAUUACUUACAUUCAGUUCAGCAAUCCAAACUAUUUUGGUUCCAAUUAAGUAAAAGAGAAAAGGUAGAAAACUGGACAAAAUGCAUCGAGGAAAAAAUACUGAUUAUCUCAACUAAAAAGGCCAGAAUGAGUAGGCUUAACUACACAAGAGCAGAACAAAACAAAACACCAAACCCAACCAACCAGCCCUGGUCUUUGAUCUCUCAUUUUCUCUGUUGAAAAUAUAUAUAUAUAUAUAAUAAUUUUAUAAAAUGGAGCAACUGUUUUUAUGCCUUCAUUAUAUUAGCUGAUUGACUGUGCCAGGAGAGUGGUGGAACCAUUAAGUUGAAACACAGUGAAAAUUAGGUUCUUGGUCUGUAUUACAAAUUCCUUUGAGUGUGCUGCUGGAGCCGUCUGGCAGCAGCCACCCAAGAUAUUUUGUCAUGUUAGAACAGCCUAAUCCACUUCAGAAUUGAAUGUCUUUUCUGUUUGCUCUUCACUUCAUUGAUGCAGUUACUACCCAACAGAAAGUGGCACAAGGCCUCCGGAAGAGAUGAUGUGACUCAAGGUGUGGUCUCAGCGCUUCUUCAGCCUCAAUAGUUCUCUUGAAGGACAAAGGGAAAGAAAAUGACGAAACAUAUACCCGGAUUUUUCAAUCAAUCUAUCUGUAGCACAUAUUAAAAAACCCCACAUUUUGUUAGUAAUUAGCUAGUGGUCCUUCAAGAUAAUUCUCAUCCAGCUGCCACUAUUACAUUCCUGUUGUCUACUAUGGAAAUUUGAUUUAAUGAAAAUACACUGCUUGAAAAUAAGUGUAAGGAACUAGAAGGGGACUGCCAUUGAAAGCACCAGUUCCUCUCUGCACCUGCUUUUUGCUGUGUGUUUCAGUAUUGAUUUUUUUUGUCUUAUUGACAUUUUGGGAAUAUAGGAUAGCAUUCAGCUACACUAUAUUGUGUCACAGUGUGUGCAAUAAAUAAAUUCAGGCAUAAAUAUGAGAGAUAUGAGCAGAUGCAUAUACUAAAAUAACAAUAUGUAGCUCCUUUCUGAUACUGUGUACCCAUUGAACAAAGUGGGGUUUUUUUAAAUGGAGAAACCUAUAAUUAUUUUCAAUUUUACUCUAAGGCCUUGACCAAAUCUUGAUCUUAAUCUUUUUGUUUGUUUACUACAGUUCAAUGAGAAAAGUUUUUAAUAGGACUAGUUAGGAAAUAGUUGGUCCUGUUUUCAAUUAACACUUCAAAACAGCAGCCUCAUGUUAACUUCAUAAUUAAAAAAUGCGGAGUUUUCUACUAAAACAUUCCAACUAAAUGUCUUAAUCAGUUGUGUUGGUUGCUAAUUUUGUGUUCCACUUGUGAAUGAUUCACAGCCUUAAAGCUUCAAAGCAGAAUGCAGAACCUGGUCAUCUGAAGCACAUGGUUAAAGGAACACAGAAGUUUACUUUUUUAUUUUUAUUGUUAUUAUUCUAGGUUUCUAUUGUUAUUUAAAUUUGAUUUUCCACACUUUACUGUAGGGUAUUGAUUUUGUUGCAUACCAUAAUCUUUCAUUUUUGCAGCAUUUCUAGCUGAUGUGAUGCAAGACAUUUGAUCCAUGUAGCUUACAAAUAUUUAUUGAUGCUUGCAUUGGAAAUGAAAGUCCAGAGUGGUUUCUGUGGCAGGAAUAGCAUUUUUAUUGCUUUAUUUAAUCUCCCGAAGAAGCUGUUUGCUGCUAUUCUACCACUUUUAUUCUCCGAGUACAUCUCAACAGAGGUGAGGUGCAGUGAGAGGUCUAAGGGGAUCAAUAACCACACACCCACAGACUUUCAUUUCUAGACCGUUGUUGGAAAACUGGCUUUUGACCAAACCCAUGGCAGUUUGACAGCUAUUUGGCCAUUUAGAAACUGAAUUUGUGGCCUCCAUCCAGUUGCUAGCACAAGGAGGUAUCUGCAUUCAAAUAUUUAAAUUAAAUUAAUACCUUUAUCUGGAAAUCUCGGCAGAGCUGUCAGGAUUGGAUGUCAUGGAGAUUUGCCUCAGGAUGCACAGCAGUGCCCUGCUAGUACUUACCUGGGUCUUGCUGGGCUUCACAGAUAAAUUUCCAAAUAUUUCUAAGUCUUUUAGGGAUGUGUAUCUCCCAAAAAAAUCUUUCCAUCUGUCUUUUACAGAGAAGCACGACAGCGAUCACAGCUGGAGCAGGGACCAAAACAUCAGCUUCUCACUGUACAACUCAUUUAGCUUUUUUCAGCCUUAAUCCCCUAGCUCUAAAAUUCAGAAGAGAUAGUAGCGCUGUGGAUAACGUCAGUAUCUCACUACACUGAUACAAUAUACGGUGUUUCUCAUCUCAGUACCUUUCGCACCUCGAAAAUCCCCUCUGAUUUCCCAGGCUGGUGUAUUGAAUAGAACAUUUCACCUGUCAGCAUUCCAGCUCAUGCCUCGAGAGCAUCAACCCCCCCACGCCUCUGUUGGCACCUUCUCUUAAUUCUCGAACUAAAACAUUAUUUUCCAUACCGUGUGCAAGAAUCCACACCAAAUUUUAUUUAAUUAAACAUUGAUAGCAUACUAAUUUAACGGUGUGGUUGCAGCAACGGUCCUGGCAAUGAGCCAGUUCCCUCAUUGGAAUAAACCACGCAGCCUCCGGCUUCAUGGUUUAUUCAUUUGGGGACUGUGUUACAGCCUCAUAAAACAGCGCGAUAGUACUAUUAUCACUUAAUUAUACAGCAAGCUUUUUCAGACUUCAGUGUCUGCCUUUCUACAUCAGCCACAGAACCCCAGAAUGUGCAAGAAAUACAAAUUGGUCUGUUCAAAUGUGCAUAAAUGUAUCUCAGAGAGCUGUUUUGCCAGUAUUUGGAGAAUUAACAAUAUAUUAUACUCAAAUGUGAUAAAUUACUACCCGAGAACAAACCAACGAAUAUAUUCCUGAUAGAAUUAAUUCUAACAGCUAAUUCUGAGUCAUCACCUGUAAUUCCUUACAUUAAAAAAAAUCCCAGCAACAGAAAUGUGCGGCUAAUCUGAGUAAAGAAUAUUCACUGGGAAACAACAGCAACAGAGAAAGAGAGACAAAGAAAUGCUGAAAUUUAAACUACAUAAUCAUUAUCACUAAUUGUUAGUAUCUGCAUUAGGUAUUUCUGGAGGUAAUUUCAAAAAUAAAAAUAUCUAAAUGUCACACAUAGCCACAAUCUAUCCCAGAAGAUCAAGGUUCCUGGUAUUUUCUCUAUUUGAUGACUAAUGGACUUCUUUCUGUGUUGACUCUCUUGUUAAAGUGAGGAAAUAUUGUUAAAAAACCAGCCAAGAUAAAAGCUAAACCAAAAUAAUAUUAAUAUUUCCUAAAUCCUGGUUAUUUUCAGUAAGUUUAAGCCACAAUUUCACAUAAACUAAACAAAUUUAAAACAUAGGAUCACUUAUUUCAUAUCAUAUUUCUAUAGCUGUUGCCAUUUAUUAAGUAUAAUCACCUUUUUUUUAAUACUCAUACUGAUUUAAUUAAUACUCAAAAUGAAAUUUGAGUUAGGUUCAUAUCCAAAUGAAAGGCUAUUUUCACAGGCUAUUAAAAUACAGGGGUAUUAGCUAAUCCGUAUCUGUCUGCAGUUUGACAGAAUUGUUAGAAAUGCUGAAUGUUUAAUUUCCAUCGAAACAGGUUUGGAAAUGAGAACAUUUGACUUAUGUGACUAAACAAAGAUUCACGCACUUAAAAGUUUUAGACGACUUGCCCAGCCCCUUAGGUUUAAUGACCUCAUUAAACCCAUCCAGUUCUUUCAGGUCUCUCCUUUUUUCCUCACUAUUCGCUAUUUAAACCCCAGUUAUUCAUCUCCUGUUGUAGCACAACCAGCUGCCCAAAGUCCCUCCUCCUGAUAAAAGUGGUUUUUAGAAAUUACAUAUACAAGGUGACACUGGAACAACUUUUUAAUGCAAUAUCUCGCUCUUUUUUGGAGGUUUGUUCAACAUCAGCGUCUCAAAUAUGAAAGACGACAAGUAUGUGAGGAAUGGAAAUACCGUGCUGAUUCUGUAAUUUAAGGCUUUGCCAUUCUUCCUGUUGAUAUUGAUAUAUUUAAAAAAAUCUAGUUGGAAAACUGAGUGGUUUAGAGUUUGUCAUUUUUCAUGUGAAAAGGAACAAAACUGAACUUGAUUACUAAAAUUAUUAAGUUAUAUGCCUAUACUUUAUAGGCUUUUUUUUUCUUUUACAACUACUUAUUCAAAACCCAAAAAUGUAAAAUACAUUUGAAUUAGUUAUGUAGAAGGGGAGAAUAAAAUUUCAUACUCUCCUUGGAACAUCUAAUGAGUUUAAUUUAUGACCAGUACCCUUUAUAGUUAUUAAAACAGUAAUUAAAAUUAUUUAAGCAUAGCAUACCAUUAGAACUUCUGAUAGUUCUCAAUAAUGAUGAGUUCCUAAAUACUUUGAAUGAUUUGACUUAGUUGUUUUCUCAGAUGACGGAGCACAUGGGAGUAAAGCUCCAGUUUGGAUUUCAUUUUAAUUGGCUCUUAUAAGACACCUGCAAAUGUCACAGUGAGGUAAAAUGGGACAUCUACUUCAGAUAUGACUUUUGCCUGGCAAAGAAAUACUUAUUUGAACACAUGGCCCUUUAUUUUUGUAUUUGAUUGUGAAGUGUUUUUGUACAUGAAGACUACAAACAAAACCUUUACCUAUUUAAAACUUACAUUAAUAGUGAUAAAUGACACUGAGUUAAAAGUCAUCUUGAAGAAAAUAUAAGGCCAAAAGUAUUUGACACAUUUUUGUUUCCCAGAAUACACAGAAACCUCUUGGUGCAACGUAACUCAUACUUUUGUUUACUCAACUGCUUGCCAAAUAAUUGCAUUAUUUAUAUUGUAUUAACUUCUCUAAUGAUGUGCACACCAUUUAAACGUAAUGGCUAGAACAUAAAAUAAUGCUAUUUAUGUGCAAUUAGGUGUCUACUUAGCAUUUAAAUACUGUCUUCAAGUGGAUUAAAAAAAAAAACCACUCUAUUCUUUUGAGACAAGCAGGUCUUGGCGAGCAGGAGAGAGAGUAAGUGGUGGUGUCCCACCAAAGACAAUGAAAAUGAAGUUCUCUUGCCCCUGCUGAUAAGAAAAGGAUGUAAAGAUUGAAUCAUUUGUGUCUCCUUAAGCAGAAAUUUACUCCUGAGAUACCAGAGAUACCAUAAGAACUGCGUAAACUUCAGUAAACCUUGAACAAUUAGUGCUCUGUAAAUCAAUCUUUCUCUUUAUCACCUGCUGUCAUUCAGAUCCCAGUUUUCUUAUUCAUUCACAGCUGACAAAUAAAGACAAAAUACUGGGACCCUCCACUAGGAUCUGUGACUUAUCCAGGAAUAACUGCAAAGCAAAUUCCCCCCGUUCCCACCAGUCCCUGGCGGAUUCCCCAUCCUUGCUGUGAUAUGGGACAGGUGCUAUCAGGUCCUGACAACUGCACUUCCAGCCCAGAAAAAAAUCAUCAAAGGAACUCCCCAAAGUAAAUCCAGAGAUACAGCUGUCUUGGAAUGUGUCUCCUUUCCUAAUUUGUUUUAUUUCUGCUUAUCUAUGUAAUAUAUCCAUCAUUUCUAUAUAGGUGGUAGUAACACGAAGCUAUUUUGCGUAGAGCAAAAUAUUUAUGACCCCUGCUGCGUGAUGCAGAGUAGAGGAGUACAGGCCAGCAGGGGUGGCAAAAAAAAGGGACUAUAAGGUGCUUCUCAAGCAGUAAAUUCUGGCACAGAGAGGAGCUUCAGGCCGCUGAGGAAGGAGCACGGUGCACAGCACUGCGAUACACCAGCAUCGUGCAGCCUUGGUCUGUUAAGCAGGGAGAGGAUCCAGCCUCGUCCGUGCCCUGCUAUGAAAUCCAGGGCAAGAGGCUUUGAAGGCAAUUGCUGAUACUGUAGCCAGCUGCUUUUUCACAAUAGAAAAUGUAAAAAUAAAAACGCUGAACUACAAACUUCAGCAGAGGAGUAAAGUUCAGCUGCUGCAUAUUCAUAGCCCUUCUCUGAGUAAGCCUUCCAUCGACACAUACCCUUCCUGCAUACCAAAUGCUAAUGCAUAUUUAUAUAUUCAUAAAGCAUACCAAAUAUUUCAGCAUUCAUGAUUAUUUACUAUGCACAGGUAUGCAGUCAAAAAUCAGGUGGCAUCUAAUUUCCCCAUACUGUAAAUUUGUCUCCAGACUGUAUUAUUAUGCUCUGUGCACCUGCAGAAUCAUAAGGUAUUUCACCGCUGAGGAUUUUAUCUUCAAUUAUUCCUCAGCCUCCAUACUGCAGCUCUUACAGCAUUAUGCAACACACAGCCAAAUUUAUCUCCAGGUACAUAUUAUCUAAGCUUAUAUGCCUAUAAGCAUAAAUAGCCUAUCAUAAUGCUAAUGCCGGUAUUAGAAUAAAGGCAGGAAUCGCAGCUCACAAGAUACAAGGAGGCUUGUGUUGCGGUUUCUUUUUGUUUUACACCAGCAAACAGUGCAGAUUCUUUGAAUCUUCCUGAAGAACUUGGAAAGGGAGUUACUGGUCCUCAAAUAAACCAGUGCCAAUAGCACACUUGGCAGAAAUUCUGAAACAUCUCCUAAUUUCAUCUUUCUACAAAAAUGGCCAUUUGGUUGGGAGUGAAACAGCCCAUUCUACUCACUACUGUGAUUUUUUUUUCUCUCUUCUAUCCUUUGCAGAACUAAAUGUAGAAACAUAAAUGCACAAAGUGCUUAAUUUUUAUGCUUUAUUUAAAGAAACUAAGAGGUAUAAAAAUAACUGAGAAUGAUUAAAAGUUAUUCUCUUGUGCAGUUCUGACAAUUGAGUUCUUGUCACACAUCACUCACUGUACUAGUCUAAUUUAAAAAUCAAAACCAUAGAAAUAAGUAUUGUUCUAUUCUUCGGAUGUUUACCGUCAUGUCUGAAUCCAAUUCUAACAAACUACCAUAAAUAAAUAUGGCUUUUUUCAGCAGUAGGAUGAAUAUGUCAUGCUUCCUAGAUUGAAUUAAUAUCCUAGGCAAAUUCUAACUUGAUUAUUUAUUCCCACGAUGGAAAAUAAUUAUGGCAUUUGUUGCCAUCUACAACAGGAGGAUCUUUCUUACCUACUGUAUUUGAGAAUUUAUUAAUAUUUAAAAAGAGAAAUUCAGGCUGUGAAACAAGAUAUUCAGCAACAAAAAGAUAAACUGAAUUAUUUCACUUUCCAGAUAAGACCAGCAGUAGCAUUGGUGCAUUAUAGAAAGGCAUGUGUUUUCUUUUAGAGGGGUAUACGCAUUUCUGAUGAGAAAAUUACUUACAGAUAAAAAGCCACAAAGGGAAAAAAACAAUGCAUAAUAAGAAAAUAUGUAGACGGGCAUGGAGACAGAGGAACCUAAUCUCAACACAAUCAUUUCUGGAAGAAAUAGAUGCUGUCAAGGCUGAAUACUCCAUAUAAAUCUUACCACUGAGGAGAAUAGAUUAAAAAGAUGUGUGGAAGAUACAUAUGUACCCAGAUACAUUUGAACAUAUCUCCUUUAAGAUUAAAGUGAAAAUACAAACACAUUCCAUUGUACUCGCUGAAGUUUUGUGACUAAUUCGAGACUAAAAAAGAAUAUAAUGCUAAAUUACAGUCUUACAGUUUGAAUAUAUAAUCUUCUCUUCUUAUCCACUGAUAGUCUAAAUAACUCCUUUCUAUUAAUCCUAUCCAGACAGCAGUUAAGACCUUCUCCUGUAAGCUGUGAUAAGAUGCUUCUGUUAUUUAUUUCACAGUUAUAUAUCAGAUUUAAUCUUCAAUUCCCUAAGAUAAAAACCUUUUGUUUAUUAUAAGCAUUGGCAAACCCAUUGCUGUAGAGAUUUGAAGGGAUGCAUGCAUUCCCUUUCAUCUGUAAUUGGAAUACUUAUUUGCCUCAUGUUUUAGCUGGGAAAUAAAAUAUUAAUGUACGUAAGGAAUAAAAUAUAUGCUUAAUAACAUUUUCUAUUUACUGCUAUUUUUUUAUUGUAUAGGAAUUAGUUAUCAUUGUGGUGGUAUCUUUUUUCCAUAGCUCGCCAGGAUACUUUAUUCAUGAGUUAUCAUUACUUCGUCAGGUAACAAAUGACAUUAUAUUUUAAUAAUGAAUGUAAUGAUAUUUAAAUCAUGAUUGUAACACUUGGACCACAUGAGAUGUGUGUUACAAAGGUGCUACGAUGCAAGCCAGCAAAAUAGUCUAUCAUCUCCCCAAAACAGCAUUUAAAAGCAAACUUUGCUGAAGUAAGGCCCUCUCUAAAGUAUUUACAGUCCUUUUAUAUAAAGACCUCACUCACUUAGCUCAAACAUCAUCAGACUUUUUUGAUACCCAAAUUUCUGUAAUUCCAAAGUUCUCUCUGCCCAGUGACAGGUAUUACAGCUGUUUUUUUUUUUAGUUAAGUAAAAACUGUUCAAAACGAAGACAGUUGGGGAAACGGUAUCUACAGAAGAAAUAGAAGCCAGACCACUGCUAUAAAUGUGUACUGAAGAAAACAGCUCCUUCUAUUUGCACCAUGUAAGGACCCAGCAUUUUGUAUUCUGGCAAGACAUCAAAAAAUUUCAUUCCUGUGAAUCGUCUACAACCUGAAAGAGAGAUGUCUCAGAAACAUGUGCCUGCUUCCAAAUAUUCACGUCUCAUUCUUGUAUAAAUAAAACUUCAAGUAAAAGAGAAGUUGUAUCGUGUAUGCAUAUUCAAAGUAAAUAUAUCUCUGGAAAAAGCUUUAGAAAAGCAAAACUAGUCAAACAGACACUCCAUAAUUUGUUGCAAGAGUUAACCUUUUAUUUAGGAUUAUGGGCUUAGACCUACUGCCAUUACUCACAUGAAUAACUUCCCUUAAGUGAGUAGUACAACUGCAUUGCAAGGGGUUUUCACUAAGGAAAAAGCAUUUGGGCUGAAACUUAACUGUAAGAAACAUGUUUGUUUAAUUUAAGAACUGUUUGUGUAAGGAAAGAAUGGCAAAUAAAUUUCAGUUAAAGUCAAUUCUGUUAAAACCUUGAAUGUCUGCUAUAAUAAAGACUUCAGUGAAAAUGAAUAGUACAAAUACUUCACAGGAGGUUUCAAGUGCUCGGUAUAAUUCUGGAUAACUAGGCAAUCCAUACCAAGAUUCGUUUGAGGCAAAAUGUGGGGUUUUUUUCUAAUCUUUUCAAAAGCCUUUUCCAAAGUGUGUAAGAAACUUCAAUUCAAGCUGCUUUGCCGGCAUCCAAGCAAAUUAUCCUGAGUUUGAUUAUGCAGAUUUUCCUGGACUCCAAGCGAAUAUUUAUUCUUGCAAAAAAGUUAUAGAUUAUAUCAGGUUUCAGCCCUGGCUACAGAUUUCAUAGGAGUUUGGAAAUGCAAAGGACAAGGGAACACUAUCUGCAUGCCAUCAACUAAAUAGCUCCAUUUCAGAACUUGUACAACUUGCUGAAGCUUUCAGGGAUAUUUUCCUCUUCAAGAAACCUAGUUUUAAAGGACUUUCACCCUAUAGAAUCUUUUAUUUGAUUUUUACGGUCCUCUGGUUAGAUUAGUACAUGGUAUGCGACCCAGGAUGAGGCAGCUCAAUCCUUGCUAGAAGUUUCCUCACCCUAUAGUAUAUAGAAAACACCCUAUGGCACCAGAAUGGUAAGAAAGGGCAAUACUCCUCCUCUCUGCGGGUGAUGACAUUCAAAACCUGUUGUUUGUGCUGGAAAAUCGGGGUGUUACUCCUUCGCAAACACAGUCCUUGUUUCUGCAGGUCUGUUUUCUACAGUUUCUUUCCCUCUGCAGAUGGUUGAUGUUGCAGAUGGACGUGGGAGAGUCGGGCUGAGCAGGACAGCUGCUGCUUGGCAUCCCUCUUGCUACGAUCCUGAGUGUUUGUCAUUUUUACGUCGCUGCCUUUUUGUUUGGUUUGGGUUGGGUUUUUUAAACACUUUGUUCAUUGGAAAAACAAAGAGGAAGGGAGGACUGGCCAUAUGGCAAAUAAGGCUGAGCUCAAGAGAGAGAAGAAAGAAUCAGGCAAUCUGACUUUUAAUAUAAAUAUAAAUCCACGUGGGGCAAUGUAUGUAAUGCAAAAUUUAAGAUGGCAUUUUACAUUUAUACUCCUUUUUGACUUUUGAGCUGUUUACCUAUACUUCAAGCACAGACUGAAACCAUCACUGAAACAAUUACCGAGAACAAGAAGUCCACAAAAUCCAGGCAAUAUCCUUAUUUUGCGAUGGAGGAAGAGCACCUAUUUUUAGAGACAAUGCUUUGAUGUUAGGUAUAGUCUAGUUUGGUUUUGAAAACAAAGAAAGGCAACUCUACAUAACUGAUAUAUCUAUGGGAAAUUUUUAACUAAAAUUCCUAAGCGCUAAGGAAUAAUUUAAUGCCAAAAGAGUGUACUUGACUGAAAUAACUACACGUCUCAAAACCUGCUAAAAUUGUAACAGUUUAUCCUGACUUUUCAGUUCCCCCAACACAACAUGGUUUAUCUGAUACUGAUAAGCUGGAAUUGAUUCUGGACUUGUGCAAAACAAAUGAAAGUCAAUGGGAAGACUUUGGUGUGUGGUGUGGGGGAAAUUAAAGCACAACAUAAGACAAAAUCCAAGGUCUGAUUUUGGGAUCCCUAGAGAGCACACAAUUUACUCAAAUAAAACAUCUCCUUCAAUUAGUAAAGAAUAAGCGAAAAUAGCAAACAUUUUCUACUGUAUUAUUUCAAGACUGGUACAGACUAGUGGCCCAUCAUGAGUAGCUAUGAUAGCAUUCUUCCCGAUCCAUGUUUAUAGAGAAGUUUUUGGACUGAAAAUUAUUCUUUUAAGGCUGGAUUUUCCAUACAUUUACUCUUGUGAAAAAGUUAAAGCACUAUUACUCUGGAGUAUCUUACAUCCUGCCAGUCCUGAUUUUUAAAUGCAAUUUGUCAUUUACAUUCACAAUUAACUACAGGCACAAAUAUUUAAGCUGCCUGCCUUCAACUAUCAGGCACAGUAAAUAGGUAGCUAUCCCGUGUUUUUCACUG